rnacentral:lncRNA from 1 species
CUUGUACUCUUUCCCUUUAUUUCUAGACCGGCCAACACUUAGAGAAAUAGAAAAGAACCUAUGUGAAAUAUCGGGGGCUGGUUUCCCCUGAUAGUGAAGGAGACAGGUUAGAUACACUGGAGCUUCCACACAGGAGAGAGGGAAGGAGCUGGAGAAGAAGGUGAGUUGGAAGAUUUGGGGGUUUUGUUUUUAAGUGAGAGAGCUUUGAAUAGGUUUAAUGCUGAUGGUGGGGAUCCAGUUAAGAGAAACACUGAAAAUUAACUAGAGGGAAAGGUAACUGACAGUAUAGAGUUCCUAAGAACCCAAGCAGUAAAUUCUAGCCUAGCUGGGGGUGGAGUGUGAAGAAGUGAAGAACCUUUUUUAUUUUUUUUUUAAUGGGCUGGGUGUGAAGCUACAUUUGUAGUUUUGUGGCAGGAAGUUCCCUUACUGUAACUUCUAUAUUUUCUGUGAAGCAGAAGACAAGAACUCUGUUCAAAGUUAGGGAGAUGAUAGAUUGAGGGCUAGAAGAGUAAGGCAGGCUUGAAACAAUCAUUGUCACGAAUGGGAGUUGACCAGAGAUUAGUAACGUUGCUGGGCCAUGUGUAGGGGCCCAUUUGAAACCAGCGAUUACAAAUGUGCAGUGGUUCCAGGCCGUGCGGCUGUGUGAAUCUACCUGAUGACCCUCGGCUGCUUGGGUACUGCCAUGGAUAGCGCAUGUGUUGGCUUUGUCCAGCUUUGGGCUUUUUCCCACAUUGAUUUUAAAAAGACAGGAGCCACAGAUUUUGGAGUACUGCAAAAUGACUUUCCAAAUUGAUGAACCAUGGACUCCAAGCUGGAUAGACACAGAAAUGAAAAGAAGGGACUAAUAGGGAAUAAGACGUGUGAUCCAUGGCCCGAUGGCCCUGAUGGACGUGAAGAUCCACUGUUGUGGGAGGAGUGGAACACUAACACUGAAUGAUGGAGGCUGUGGUCAGAAACAGUAGCUGAAUAUAACUGGCCAGUGCAGAAGAGCCUAUGAAGGUGGAAAAUGGAGGAAGGAGGACCCCAUGCUGGAGAAGUGAUGGAGAUUUGAAGCCUUGGAAGAUGGCGGCAAGGGAGAUGCCAGAGAUGAGACAAUGUUAAACAUCUGUAAUCUAACAGUCUUCUAUGGGAGUUUAUUACAUUUCCAUAUCCUAUGUUCACUUCUAGUGAAAAAUAAAAAUAAAAUCUUAAGCCCCCCACAGCUGACUAAAUGGAUCCCAUUGUGAAAGGAAAAUAUCUUGAGCCUCCAAAAUCACUAAGGAAAAUUCAAGCUGGAAACUUCUUAGGACAAACCUGCCUCCCAUUCUCUUCAAAGUUAUUCCUCUGCUCGAGGAGCUAGAUGCAUAUCUGAUUGCCGCCUUUGGAAAGGCUAACCAGAAACUCAAAAGAAUGAUACAGUUUGUUAUCACCUACCUGUGACCUGGAAGCUCCCUCCCUCCCCACUUGAGUCUUCCUGCUUUUGUUUCAAGCUGUCCUGCCUUUCCAGACCAAACCAAUGUACUUCUUACGUAUAUUGAUUGAUGUCUCACUCAUGUCUCCCUAAAUCGUAUAAAACCAAGCUGUGCCCCAACUACCCUGGGCAUGUGUCAUCAGGAUUUCAUGAAGCUGUGUCACGGGCGCAUUCCCCAACCUUGAAAAAAUAAACUUUCUAAAUUAACUGA